GAAGGGUGCAAACGUUAUUCGGAAUCAUUGGGUGUAAAGGGUGCGUAGACGGUAUGCCAAGCUCGUUGUUAAAUCCUCCGGCUUAACCGGAGAAUUGCAGUGGGAACUGGUAUACUCGAGGAUGGAAGAGAGAAGUGGAAUUCCCGGAGUAGCGGUAAAAUGCGUAGAUCUCGGGAGGAACACCGAUGGCGAAGGCAGCUUCUUGGUCCAUUCCUGACGUUGAGGCACGAGAGCGUGGGGAGCAAACAGGAUUAGAUACCCUGGUAGUCCACGCCGUAAACGAUAAUCACUAGACGUUGGAUUGGCUUUGCUAGUUCAGUGUCGAAGCUAACGCGUUAAGUGAUUCACCUGGGGAGUACGGUCGCAAGAUUA
rnacentral:rRNA from 1 species